UAAGCCGCUCUUAAAAUAAAUAAAUGGUAUCUCACGUGGUGUAAAUCCAAUAAACACUUCAAACGGCCGGAUAAAGUGCAAGCAUCAAACACGUGUAAACUUCCGAAUGGAAUAUUUGCUCGAUUUCGAUUACCAUAAUUUAUAUCAUCGAAGCCAUAAACCAGCAAAAGAAGAAAUAAAACGACACUUACCCGCAUAGUGACUGAUCGGCUCAGUCUCUGUGGUUCAUCAUAGAUCCAAUCGAGGAGGAAGAGGACAGCUGUGAGGUUGAAGCGUUAUGUCGGUGUUGCAACAUUGACUCCCACUCCCGGCAACAGGAUGAAUGACUCUAGCGAAGCGUAUCGUAGUUUGUGUGCCGCAAACAGCGUCGAUCGGGAAAGGCUAAUAGGUCGGGUAAUUUACUAUUAAUCACUACGGAGGUGCCGCAUUACAGCGCUCAUAUUUUCAAAACUCUUAUUGCAUGUAGCACUCAUUAAUUCACACACUUGCAAACACUUCCGCUUUCAGCGCUACCACUUGACGGUUUGUUUUCUUGCUUCUGUGGGAUUUAUUACUUCAUAACGCGACGACGAUGAAGAUAUUACACUUUCACUGGAUACCUCCUCUCCUAGUGCUGUUGGGUGGGAAUCAGAUGGAAACUCGCCUCGCUGUUAUGCAUUAGAAUGGAUGGGAUUUGUCGAAGGCGACGGCAGCUUAUGCGCUCCCAGUUCGGUUUCACUGUUCGAAAUUAAUCUGGAAGGAUAGAAAGCGAUAGACGAUGUUAAUUGGAGACCAUCAUGAAGGCAGUUUGGUAGCAGUAAACGGAAUGAAUGUGAAGUGAACCACCAAUUGAAUUAUGAGUGCUUGAAAGUGAAAAUAAUCGGCCAUUUAACUAUGACGCAUUCGGACAGUUUCGAGUUAGUUUGGCUUUGGGACGCCAUUGUUUAAUUGUGUAUUUAGGUUAAUGGGUGAUGAAACUUUUUUUUUGUUAUAUAUGGCCUGCAGUAGCAAGCUUUUUCGUAGGUAACUGUUAGUAUAAUCAACAUAAUAGGUAAUACAUAAGGUUGUAUCAGGUUCAUGGUAGUUUGUUCAAUUUCAGUUGGCCUAAAGUAUUUUGGGAGGUUUUUAGAAUGUAAUUACAAACGAAGUGAUAAGGUGGUCGUGUUCUAAACUAAUAUUGCAUAUAUAUUUAUUCAAUUCUGUUGAACAGAAUUUGGGAACGAAUGAAAUAAAUACUCAUGAUUCAUUAUUUAUUUAAAUAUACAACAUGGGGCUGAUGAAACAUUCAUUUUUAUUGUCGAUAUUAGGAAUAAAAUUAAUGAUAAAAUAAUAAUAAAAAAGUAAAUUUGAACUUAAAUAAUACAUUAA